UUGUUCAAAAUUGUUACUUUUUGCGAUGUGUCAUCGCUGUCCUUCUAAUUUACAUAAAACGAGAACGUUUUCAUUUGUUGUGAAAAUAUGAAAUCGUAAGGUUGGCGCUGUUCUAAGUCAGAGCCAUCAUAGUUAUGGAAGCUACUGAAAACACCCAAUUAGUCAAACACAAUGAAGGUGUCACUCCAAGAGAUUACCAGGUAGAGCUAUUCCAAGCUGCCCUGGACGAUAACAUAAUUGUAUAUCUCCCAACUGGCUCAGGAAAGACACUGAUAGCAGCUCUUCUGAUCAAUGAAAAAUCCAAUGAAGUCACAAAGUCCUUGAAUGCAGGAGGGAGACGAACAGUGUUUCUUGUUCCCACAAUUGUUCUGGCAAUCCAACAGGCAGCUUAUUUGAGGAACCACACUUGUCUAAAAGUACAGGAAUUCUAUGGAGGAAUGGGUGUGGACUUGUGGGGUAGAGGCAAAUGGCAAAUGGAAUUUGAAAACAAUCAUGUUCUAGUGAUGACUGCCCAGAUUUUUGUUGAUAUCUUGAAUCAUGCCUUUUUUUCACCAUAUCAACUCAAUUUGCUGGUAUUUGAUGAGUGCCAUUCAGCAGUAAAAGACGCACCUAUGAGGCAAGUUCUCACGAAACUACACAGUUGCGAUGUUGCUCGACGGCCAAAAAUCCUGGGGCUCACAGCAGCUUUGUUUAGGAAGCGGUGUAAACCACGCGAAGUGCAUGGCAUAAUUAAGCAACUCUCUGAAACAAUGGGAUGCGUCGUGAGAAUUCCAUCUGACAUACAAACAGUCUACCGCUCCUCGACGAAACCUUGUGAGGUCGUCUUUCAACACGAUGACUUUGACACGGCAUUGGAUCCUGUUGCAAGAGAGUUGAGUACACUGGUACAAAGUUUACUACUGUCCUGUCGGUUGGUUGUCCAGAAUUCUCUACAGCACUUUCAAGCGGAUGGACUGUGGAAUCCAUACACCGUCCAGAAUACGGGCAAAACUGAUAUAUUAAGCGACGCCAUUAAAGACAUUGCCUUCCUAUUGGAGAACUUUGGACCCUACGGGGCUUUUCAUUGCGCACAAGUCUACAUUCCAAUUUUAGAAACAGCUAAAAUGCGUGUUAGAAAGGUUUCUGACUUUAACAAAGUGAUCACUCUCUGCUAUCAAAUACGGGAAAUUUGCGCAUCAUUUUUUGCGAAUUACUCCGCAAAAGAUCGCCUUACAGUCUUUGUUCAACCUAAUGUGAUACGGUUAUUGGACAUUAUCCGCAACUUCAGCCCAGAGCAUUGUGAUCCCGGUGAAAAAACGUUCAAAAUGUGUUGCAUCAUUUUUGUCGAACGCAGAUCAGUGGCUAGUGUCCUGUACCAUUACCUGAAGGAUAUUCGAGUACAUGAUACCACCUUGGAAUUUGUGAAGCCGUUAUUUACCAUGGGGCAGGCGGCAGCGUCCAACGCCACUCUCACAGAAUCACAAAUUCUGAACAUGAAGCAAAAAGAGAUUAUGAGAGACUUUCGGGAAGGACGUUGCAACUUGGUGGUGGCUACAAGUGUCCUGGAAGAAGGCAUUGAUAUCCCCGAAUGUAAUUUGAUUAUUCGUUUUGACAAAUUUCGAACUUAUUGCGACUACGUCCAAACCAAAGGCCGGGCCAGAUCUGUGAGAGCUUUCUAUUGUAUUUUGGUGAGUCGCAGUGAUACUGAAAAGCUUCUAGAAGAUUUGGCCCAAUUCCACUCCAUUGAACAACAGCUAGUAGCCACAAGCAACAUUGAGGAAGAUAAAGACGCUAUUCUAGACAAUAUGUUUGGUCAGAUUAUCAAACCCUAUCAACCAUUCGGCGAAGAAGGGCCACGAGUCACCUUACAGAGUAGCAUUUCACUUAUUAACAGAUACUGUAGCCAACUGGUGUCACAUGGACCUUCAGUAUUGGUUCCCACAUGGAAUAUCAAAGAAGUGGAUGAAAACCUAAUUGAUCCUUUGUUACUCCAGAGGAUAAAGGAACUAGUGAAACGGUUGCCAAUUCCGAAACCUCCUCCUAAUCAGGUGGCUACAGUUUCCUAUGGCUUGUAUCAGUGUCAACUCCUGCUACCAAAGAGCUCCCCUUUGCAAGAAGAAAUCGUUGGUGAGCCAAUGCCAACAAAACGGUUAGCCAAACGUACAGUAGCUUUGCGAGUUUGUCAGCGUCUUCAUAUGCUAAAGGAAUUGGACGAUCUUCAUCUUCUCCCAGUCAGUCACCGUAACAUAGUAGUGCAGUGAAGUUUACCGAUGUGCGCAUCAAACUGAGAAGUAUUUUUGUUCUGCUAUUAAAGAAAAAGACAGUUCUCAACGAAAGGGGCAUUAAAAAUUUUGCUUUAAGGUGAAUAGCAAAAAGAAAAGAAAAAUAUGCUAAACGGUAUCAAGAAAUGCUGCACAGUUUACUACUGUAAUCGCGACUCGGACGCAAAGGUUUGAUAUCGACCAAUUCCGUCGGACUAUUGAGGCUCAUGGAUCGCAUCCUGACCAGAUGUUUGGAGGCUUCUUGGUGAGGACUAACGGGAGCCGAAUCAGAGCUUUAGAUUUUCUUUGUCAUAUCGGUCGCUACUUUUUCCCACCUGAAAUUUAAAAAAUGGGAACAAAUGAAAGGCAGAGAAAAAAAGUUGUUGAUUCGAUGCGCUCAAAUCCGUCACAAUUAGAGGUAUUUUCUCCUGUUCUUUGCUUCCUGCGUAAGCUUGUCAAUAAAAGGGUGAUCGAUCCACGUCAACCCCAUGUCCACCAAAUCAGAAAGUUUCUUCCAUUGCUCGCGGUUGUUCAAACACGUCUCAUAGAUAGGUUUGACCCAAGGGAAUGAUUCCGAUAGCGCCUUUUCCCCCCAAAAUUAGAAAGGUUGUCUUUCUCGUCUCGGUCCAUCAUUGCCUGUGACGACGGCAAAACCAAACUUAGUACGUUUAGACAAUCAACAAGAAACAUCUAAAAGAACAACACGUACAAUGGGCGUCUCAUUGAGCUGCAAUUUCUCCAUGUCACCCUGCUCGAAAAACUCUUCCGCAACUAGUUUAGCUACUCGAUGUUGAACGGACCACGGCUUAGCAAUGGCACUCACGUCACAACCAGUCAUCAUCAUCCCACACAGAUCCUGCCAAUUGAAUUCUCCGUUUUCCACCAUGUCGAUGAAACGAUUUUUUUUACGGAAGUAAACAGCCAAAUCGGUUGAAAGGAUGGCAUGCUCAAUCAGGUGCAUGGCUGUCCUGUACUGCACAGGAUAUUAUUGGAAUCCUCGCUAAGAAUCAUGAUACACUGAUCUAAAUGAUGGUGUUCCAUAGUAGAAGUUGAGUAGAGAAUAGCUAACGGAGACAUCACUUUCGACUUCCAAGGUGUCUUAUUACCUGGAAAGCAUUAUUGGUUCCACGGUGAUCCAAAUCGUGGCAUAAACAGGCAACCAGCAAACUCAAAAUCUACCCUAGCCAAACAGUCAAUAAAUUUGUCAUCAUGCGUACACGAGAGCGACGCAAAGAAGAAAACGUUUCCACUUGCAUCGAGAUCAGUCAUGAACUGCUCCAUUUUCCCUGUUCUGAGAAGCGAAAACAUCGUCUGGGCGACAUUCAACGCGUGACGCCAAUUGUGAUACUUGACAGGUCGAUAAUUUUUCUUCACGCUCAGGAUCCAACGACAAAGCACCUGCAUCCAAAACGAAAAUCAUUUCUUUAAACGUGGAUAUUAUCGAUCAACGCGAACGUGCUGACCUUGUAAGGUCCGAUAAUUCAAAAUCGAUGAAAUCGUAGCUGUAAAAAAGAACAACACUCAUCAGUGGAAACGCAUCGAAGUAAACCAAAGAAAAAGUACUUUGUGAGAUUGUAGUACUCGGUCGAGGGAACGACAUCAUUUUCUAGCUGUUCAACAUCUUCUUCAUUAGCACGUGAAUGAUGAAAGACGAACUGAUUACUACCUCUUCAUCCGAUGAUGUGAAUCCGUCGAGAGUCCCUUUCUUAUUAACCAUUUGCGCUACACCGACAACACCACCCUGGCGAUCAAGUAUAGGAAGACAGAGGAUGCUGUGUGUGACGUAACCGGUUCGCUUGUCUACUUCGGAAAGGAAACGUUCGUCCUGUGAUGUCCCGUCAAUCCGAGGUAAAUUCAAAGAGGAAAGAGACACGACAGCAUGCAAUCGAUUUCCUCAAUCAGUACUGGAUAACUCUUAACACACACACUAAACCCUCUCGGGCGUCUACAAUCCGCAGUCCUGAUUUGGUGAGGGCUACAUGGCCGGCUAUUCCGCUUCCUAGCGGUAUAGGUUGCGCUUCAAGGGCUGCCUUCAGCAAAGUAUCAUCGAAAUCUGUCAUUGAAAACCAUUAAUAAGAUUGGUUAUCGAGUUUUGGAACCAAUUUCCAUCUCCUUAGAUCUACUAUUAUGUUUAUUUAUUUUUAUUUUUUGUAAGGACUUGAUUUGAUUGCAAGACCUGCCCGUUUUCAAAG